AGAGUUUGAUCCUGGCUCAGGAUGAACGCUAGCGACAGGCUUAACACAUGCAAGUCGAGGGGCAUCAUGAGGUAGCAAUACCUUGAUGGCGACCGGCGCACGGGUGAGUAACGCGUAUGCAACCUGCCCGAUACCGGGGUAUAGCCCAUGGAAACGUGGAUUAACACCCCAUAGUACUUUUAUCCUGCAUGGGAUGUGAGUUAAAUGUUCAAGGUAUCGGAUGGGCAUGCGUCCUAUUAGUUAGUUGGCGGGGUAACAGCCCACCAAGACGAUGAUAGGUAGGGGUUCUGAGAGGAAGGUCCCCCACAUUGGAACUGAGACACGGUCCAAACUCCUACGGGAGGCAGCAGUGAGGAAUAUUGGUCAAUGGACGAGAGUCUGAACCAGCCAAGUAGCGUGAAGGAUGAAGGUCCUACGGAUUGUAAACUUCUUUUAUAAGGGAAUAAACCCUCCCACGUGUGGGAGCUUGUAUGUACCUUAUGAAUAAGCAUCGGCUAACUCCGUGCCAGCAGCCGCGGUAAUACGGAGGAUGCGAGCGUUAUCCGGAUUUAUUGGGUUUAAAGGGUGCGUAGGUGGUGAUUUAAGUCAGCGGUGAAAGUUUGUGGCUCAACCAUAAAAUUGCCGUUGAAACUGGGUUACUUGAGUGUGUUUGAGGUAGGCGGAAUGCGUGGUGUAGCGGUGAAAUGCAUAGAUAUCACGCAGAACUCCGAUUGCGAAGGCAGCUUACUAAACCAUAACUGACACUGAAGCACGAAAGCGUGGGGAUCAAACAGGAUUAGAUACCCUGGUAGUCCACGCAGUAAACGAUGAUUACUAGGAGUUUGCGAUACAAUGUAAGCUCUACAGCGAAAGCGUUAAGUAAUCCACCUGGGGAGUACGCCGGCAACGGUGAAACUCAAAGGAAUUGACGGGGGCCCGCACAAGCGGAGGAACAUGUG
rnacentral:rRNA from 1 species